rnacentral:lncRNA from 13 species
AAGUGCUAGCAUCAGGAAACACAGAUAUACUUGAUGAGGCACCUGUUAUCCUGUCAUGUCGUACAAAUGAUUUACAAGUAGUUAAAAAAUUUGAUAUUCAAAACAUUUCCACAACACCUGGAGAAUUAAAUCAUUUUAUCAGUGACUGAUAAAUCCUGCAACAAAAAUAAUAUACCCGAAAGACUAGAAGCUACACCUAUUUCUGUCCCUACAAAAACAAUUUCAAAAAGAAGGAUCAAUACGAAGAGACUUGGAGUGCAAUUGUUAGAGGCCAGAGAAACAAAAUGUUCAAAUAAUGGAGGCGAGUUAUAACCGCAUUCACUACUGCGAAUGCCUUUUGUUGUCUUUUAAUCCUGAAACAUGCAGAUGCAAGCAGAAGCAUCAUCUAAGCUUGCAGAUGCUGCUUUAAUAAUAGCUGAAAACGACAGAAAAAGGAACGACGUUAUUGAAAAAAUGAUCGAAAAUGACCGUGU